CCCAGCUCAGGGAUCCUGUCUCCCCACAAAAAGCAGCAGCAGGAGACCCCUCUGAGUUCUGAACAUGUUCCUAGAUUUUCCCAGUAUCUAUGGGGAUUGCGAGAUUGAUAAAGGCUGCUUGGAGCUGAAAGUACAGAGAGAGGCUCCUUACACUGACAUUCAAAGUCCUCAAUGACCCGGCCCCAGCCUACCUCUGCAGCCUUAUCUCCCUACAAACCAUCAAAGCAGAACAAAAAGCUGUGCCUCCGAUUUAGGUUUUAGCAAACCACAAGAAGCACUUCAUAAACUGGUGACUCAAGUAGAAAAGUACUGUUCCAUGCACUUGACACCAAUCCUCCCAUUUCACCUGCAUGAUCACCCUGCCUUUGCAUGAGUUGCCGGUGUGGACAGAGCAGGGACACAGUGAGGCAGUGGAUUCCAGCUUUGCUCUUACCUAGAACACACUGCCUUUCACCAGGAAUCGUCCUUCCAUUUUAUGCAGUUAUCCCAGACAAUGAUGCACAAGCUUUGGGAAAAAAACCCCACAAGUCCAAAGGUGUACUUCAUAAUAAAGGCAAGUUCUCUGUCA